rnacentral:misc_RNA from 1 species
CGAACACCAAGAAAUUGUACUGGACCGUUAUUCUCUUCAACAUACAGCGUUUAGUAUUAAGAUUACAGAAUUAUUAGAACCAGAAAAGUUAUAAUUUAAUAAAAUCAGCUUAAUUAGAGUUCAUCAUUGGCAGACGAGGAUGGUUCUUGUCCCUCUACAAUUCGCCGGCACGCAUUAGAAGUGCCUAAACUAUCCAACCAGACCUCAUCGGCUUCAACCGAGUCAGAAUCAUUGUUGCGCUGCCAUGACCAGUGUGCACGCUUUUCAUCCAAUAUCCUCAAUCUUCCAUGCCCGAAGCUUGGCUCCCGAUAUAACGACAGAGAAGAUGGAGGAUUCUUAAACGUUAAUGCAAGACCCUCGCGAUUCCCUCCAUCGCCUAUGGUUAUGUACACCGGGCCACAUGGAUCAGCUUUAUUGUUAUAAAUUCUAGUAAAUCUUUCAUAAGCAUGAACAUGGCCAGCAAACACCACAUCAACUCUAGCUUCAUACAAAAGAUCUUCCAUAGCUUUCCUCAUGCUUUCUCCUUCUCCUUGAUGAGCAGUAUUAGUAUUAUACCAAGGAGCAUGCAACAACACAAUCACCCAUGGAGUCUUCUUUCUAUCAAUUCUACCUAAAUCACCCACGAGCCACUUGUACUGAUCUGAAUCAGACUCAAAAUCUGUAUAAGACCCUAGCAUUAUCACAUGAGCACCAGCAACUUCGAAAGAGUAAUACAAGUUGGAGGUGGAGCCGCUCUCCUCAUAUGGCAUUAGCCACCGUGCAUUGUAUGCCUUGAACCCUUCUUGGUAUAUGAUCGGAAAUAUCUCAAUCUCGUGGUUCCCUUCUGUCACCAUCCAU